CUCAGCUUCCGGAGCAGCUGGGACUGCUGGCGCCCGCCACUACGCUCGGCUAAUUUUUUUGUGUUUUUAGUAGAGACGGGCUUUCACCGUGUUGGCCUAGCGGUUCUCCAACUCCUGACCUCAUGAUCCCCCCGCCUCAGCCUCCCAAAGUGCUGGGAUUACAAGCGUGAGCCACCGCGACCCGCCAACACUCUUGACAACAGUGCUGUGCUAAGAACUUGGGGGACUUCAAAAAGUUCACCAGUUCCUGUGUCCAUGGGUGAAAAGAUUUUCUACAUCUUUCCUUGACUAGAAACAGAAGUCCUGAAACAAGAAUAUAACGUCAGGAGGCCAGAGGCUUUGUCCUGCCUAAUGUGUUAUUUCCACACUGAAUAAAAGCACCUGAGUCCUGGUCUCAGAGUGAGAACAAUGUCUUCUAUGAUGAGUGGCAAACACAACAAGGCAUUUUAAAAAGGUUGUACAUCUAGCAAUACCUAACAAAAUAGGAAAUCAACUUGGAAAGCCAAUGGCUGUGUUUUGAGUUUAUGGAGAGCCAUAUGUGGCAAGGAACUGAGGGUGGCAUCCAGGCAACAGACUUCAAGAAACUGAGGCUGUCAGUCCAACAACCCACAAGAACUGAAUCUGACCAACAAUCACAGGAACAAACUUAGAAGUAUACUCUUUCCCAGACAAACCUUCAGAUGAGACCACAGCCCCAGCCAUAAGCUUGAAAACAAUCUCAUGAGGGACCUUGAGCCACAGGCAUGUAGUAAAGCUAUGCCAGGAAUCCUGCCUGCCCCACAGAAAAUGUAAAAAAAAUAAAUUUUUAUUGUUUUAAGCCACGAAGUUUUGAAGUAAUUUGAUAUAAAAC
rnacentral:lncRNA from 10 species